UAGGUUUUCGGACCUAGAGACCGGCGCACGGGUGCGUAACGCGUAUGCAAUCUACCUUUUACAGAGGGAUAGCCCAGAGAAAUUUGGAUUAAUACCUCAUAGUAUUAUUGAAUGGCAUCAUUUAAUAAUUAAAGUCACAACGGUAAAAGAUGAGCAUGCGUCCCAUUAGCUAGUUGGUAAGGUAACGGCUUACCAAGGCAACGAUGGGUAGGGGUCCUGAGAGGGAGAUCCCCCACACUGGUACUGAGACACGGACCAGACUCCUACGGGAGGCAGCAGUGAGGAAUAUUGGUCAAUGGGCGCAAGCCUGAACCAGCCAUGCCGCGUGCAGGAUGACGGUCCUAUGGA
rnacentral:rRNA from 1 species